rnacentral:rRNA from 1 species
AUGCUUAAGAUUGAUCUUGCUAAGGCUUUUGAUCACCUUGAAUGGAAUUUUAUUGUAUACGCUUUGUCACGUAAAGGGCUGCAUGGUCAUUUCAUUAAUUUGGUCUAUGCUUGCAUUUCUUCUCCCAUGUUCUCUGCGCUCAUUAGUGGCCAGCCUUCUCAAAAGUUUAAAAGUUUUCAUGGAAUCCGACAAGGUUGUCCUAUGUCUCCUUACUUAUUCGUCCUUGCUAUUAAUGAACUUUCAAUCAUGCUCAAUGAAGCUUUGUAG